AGGGCAUGAUAAGAACAUUUCCAAAUAAGUUCCUUAAAUCUUUCCAACAAUUCAUAAAUAGAUUCUCCAUCUAACUAGGUAAAGGAAGUAAUGUCAUUUCUAAAUUU